AUGGCUAAAUGACUGAAAAGGGAAUCUGGUGAGAAUCCAGAACUGACGCGCAGCGGUAAGAGAGAACGAACACUCAGGUGACACUGCAAUGUGCGGGAAGUCGAGUUAGUAGGUGACAGUGCUCUCAAGUCCGAAGACCUGCCAGCAACU
rnacentral:ncRNA from 1 species